rnacentral:rRNA from 1 species
UUCGUAGGUGGUUACAUAAGUCAGAUGUGAAAUCCCCGCGCUUAACGUGGGCAUUGCAUUUGAAACUAUGUAGCUAGAGUUCUGUAGAGGGGGGUAGAAUUCCAGGUGUAGCGGUGAAAUGCGUAGAGAUCUGGAGGAAUACCGAUUGCGAAGGCAGCCCCCUGGACAGUGACUGACGCUCAUAUGCGAAAGCGUGGGGAUCAAACAGGAUUAGAUACCCCCGUA